rfam:Aspergillus wentii DTO 134E9 unplaced genomic scaffold ASPWEscaffold_2, whole genome shotgun sequence.
GGCAAGAUGGCCGAGUUGGUCCAAGGCGUGAGGUUAAGGUCCACCUUAAUAUCUAGCUGUUAGCUUCCUCAUCAUCAUCUGAUGGCGUGGGUUCGAAUCCCACUCUUGUCA